rnacentral:rRNA from 1 species
UACGAAGGGGGCUAGCGUUGCUCGGAAGCACUGGGAGUAAAGGGUGCGUAGGCGGGGCUUUAAGGCAAGGGUGAAAUCCUGGAGCUCAACUCCAGAACUGCCUUUGAUACUGAAGAUCUUGAGUUCGGGAGAGGUGAGUGGAAUUCCGAGUGUAGAGGUGAAAUUCGUAGAUAUUCGGAAGAACACCAGUGGCGAAGGCGACUUACUGGACACAUAUUGACGCUGAGGUGCGAAAGCGUGGGGAGCAAACAGG